GUACGUGUGGUAUUGGAGAUCGAUAGAGAGGCGGCAGUCGAUGUGAGUGUAUAUACGCUGUUAAAGUAGAAGGUGAAAGACAGAGCGAGAGAUGGAGCACGUUACGGCAACAACGCUAAUAUGGAUCGUGUCACUCUUAGUAUGUCUGCAAUCUACAACCCGAGUCGGCGCUGAUCUUGCCAGCGACGUUAACCACCUUGCCGAAGAGACCGACCCGUUCGUGAGACGAAAUAUAUUCCGCGGCAUAGUAUCCGACCUUCAAUCGGACAUCACCGAAACACCUGGCGUCACGAGAGACGGCUACACGGUGACAUAUGGCUCUAAUCUGCAAUUGAACUUCUGCGCAAAACCGUAGCAUAUCGCCUUUUCUUAUAUAUGCAUCAACGCCGGCCUCAGACACCCGAGCAUAGAGUUUACAGUUUGAGAGAUAGAAACAAGUGAAGACGUGCGUUUACUAGGUUUUAUACACGUCACUGCGUAUCUCGUCGCGGCGAAUUACUGUUUACUAACACCUUUGAAAGUGAUGCAGGCAAUAACAUAUAUCAUUCAAUCGUAAUCACGUUGUUGUUUAUACGCACGUAGAGGGAAAACGUCGAGAACAAUACCAGGGACUGUAGUCGCGCAAUGUGGAAAUUAUCAACAUGAAUCAAAUCAUUAGACGGAUUAUAAUAUCUCAGUAUAGACUGUAAAUUAUUAUAUUUAUAUACGUAUGUGUGAGAUGUGGGGGGUUAGCACUCGUAUGCCAAGAGCAAGGGAACACGAUCAAUGAAAGGAUAGGACGAGUAAACCGAGAGCAGAGGAAGACAGGCGAGGGAAGGCUAGGAUUCGUAUAUGUAGAGAGCAGAGGAAGACGAACGCGUGAAAGAUGGGGAAAAGCAUGCAGAGACCGUACGAAGA